GGCGCACGCGGGCUGCCAUCUAUGCACGGUCUUCGGUUACGUGAAUUAAAAAAGUUUGUUCAACGAAAUAAUACUCCUUGCAGACUGCCAAAGAAUCUCGUUCUUUGAUGUUUUGAGCCAGUCGGUCUGUGACACUCUGCGGCAGCAGUCAGAAUCGCCGCGAAUAUAGAAAUGAAUUAAGAAAACACCAAAAUGAUCUACGGAGUACUUUUACUGGCGCUAAGUGCACAAAGUUUUGGUUUGAAAGUGUGUGAUAGACUUAACAGUGUGGACAUAAGUGAUGGUGAUGUGUCAAACGACAGUUUAACAGUUGUUAAAGCCGGGAUUAAGUAUGCCAGCAACGAGUACUUUUACGACGAAGAAAGCGGCAGUCUUAGAGGAUGCGAAUGUAAAAGGCAGACUUGUAUUAGAAAAUGCUGUCCCAUUGGGCUUGGUUAUGAUCCAAAGAAGAAAACCUGUGUUCCAGUGACGGAGGAGUUCGAUCCUCCGGUCUGGAAUAAAUACAGGAGGCUGGAGGGAGUGAGGGCCGUGGAUAAGUUCCGAUUCAUCACUCAGAAGCAUAACUGUACGGAUCCUGAGGUCAGGGUGCGGACUGGGCAGGUGACCCAGAACUAUCAUAUUGUGCAGGAUGGCUCCCUCUAUGUGGAGAUGCCCAACGUGAUCCCUCCAUGGACGGUCCGUGGCCCAGACAAGUACUGCAUCGACACCUUCGUCUUCGAAGACGAGUAUGGAGGCAGAACCACUCGGUUGGACGCGUUAGUCUGCUUCGCGGAGAACCAGGAGGACCACCACUAUGUACUGAGCAGCACCUGUAUGCUAAUAUCAUGCGUGUUCAUCCUGGCCACGUGCGCGGUAUACGCGUGGCUGCCCGAGCUUCGAAACCUCCACGGGCGAGUUCUGAUGGCUUACCUCAGCUGCCUCUUCGUCGGCUUCUCCUUCCUCACAGCCAUGCAGAUCUUGUUGGUGGUUGACAACAUCACGCCAUUGACGUGCGUCAUUAUGACUAUCAUCAUCUACUUCUCUCUGCUGGUGGCGUUCUUCUGGCUCAACGUGAUGAGCUUCGACAUUUGGUGGACUUUCAGCGGCAAACGCGGCUUGUCUCUUGAGAAGCUGUCAACUCGAGGACGAUUCUAUGCAUACGCGCUGUAUGCGUUCAGCGUCCCUACCGCGCUGACCAUCCUGAUGACAGCGCUGGAGUUCUCCGGUCUGCCUCCGCACCCGUUACUGCCGAUGCUGAGACACCAGGGCUGCUUCUUGUUUGGCACAAGCAAGCUCAUAUACCUGUACGGACCCAUCACCAUCCUCUGCGCGGCAAACAUGAUCUUCUUCGUUCUGACGGCGCUGAAGAUAACCCAGAUUAAGCAGCAGACGUCGGUGCUGAAGUCCAAAGAGAGUUCCACCCACGACCAGCACAGGAAUGACAGGCAAAGGCUUCUACUCUACGUGAAGUUGUUCGCUGUUAUGGGCAUAAAUUGGAUCCUGGAGGUGAUCAGCGCCAUCUACCCGCAAGCCAACAACGUGUGGCGCAUCACCGACGCGUACAACGUCCUCAUCGGCGUCAUCAUCUUCAUCAUCUUCGUCUGCAAGAGGAAAAUCUUCCAUCUCAUCAAGAAAAGGAUCAAAGAGAGAUUCCAUCAACGAGACAGUAGUUCUGGUGAAAUUAUAAAUCUAGAAAAUAUACACAGGAGAAGACUAGAACAACAAGGACCAAGAGAUAGUGUUGACACUUUGAGGAGCACUAUCUAUGUUGAUUCAGAUGGAAACAUGAAAAUGGAUAAAAUAUCAAAGUUAUGAUGACUGUCGAUGACUUAAAAUAGCAAUUAAAAAUAAAAUACUCAAUAGGAUAAGAUUUAAUAGAUCUACCACCAAAGAAAGACAAAAGACCAGAAUGUAAUGCAAAAAACAGUCCAAAACAUGAUAUAAAUUUUCAAAAUUUCAUUCAUAUUGAUACAAAAAAGGAGAUGAAGAAAAUGAUCACCAACUACAAGAAAAGAAAGGAGAAAACCGAAACAUAAGAUACAAGCAACUCCGAGGUGAUCCCAUGUCCAGGAACCAGACGACCGUGUCCUCCCGGACCUCCUCCCGCGACGAGAGCCGCCUCAACUCCAUCAGGAUGCACGAGAAAUGAUGACGUCAACUUACACCACGUUGUGACGUCAACUCACGUCACACGUCACGCUACCUCAAACGCAAUUGAAAUUAGAC